CCUACGGGAGGCAGCAGUGGGGAAUAUUGGGCAAUGGAGGAAACUCUGACCCAGCGACGCCGCGUGCGGGAUGAAGGCCUUCGGGUUGUAAACCGCUUUCAGCAGGGAAGAAGCGAAAGUGACGGUACCUGCAGAAGAAGCACCGGCUAACUAUGUGCCAGCAGCCGCGGUAAUACAUAGGGUGCAAGCGUUGUCCGGAAUUAUUGGGCGUAAAGAGCUCGUAGGUGGUUCGUCACGUCGGAUGUGAAAAUCUGGGGCUUAACCCCAGACCUGCAUUCGAUACGGGCGAGCUUGAGUAUGGUAGGGGAGUCUGGAAUUCCUGGUGUAGCGGUGGAAUGCGCAGAUAUCAGGAGGAACACCAAUGGCGAAGGCAGGACUCUGGGCCAUUACUGACACUGAGGAGCGAAAGCGUGGGGAGCGAACAGGAUUAGAUACCCUGGUAGUCCACGCCGUAAACGGUGGGCACUAGUUGUGGGGACCUUCCACGGUCUCUGCGACGCNGCUACGCAUAGUCGCCCGCCGUCGGGAGGUACGACGUCGCGAAGAAUUAAACUAACGAAAGAAGUAGACGGCGNGAGACGUGCCGACGGACGACGACGAGGGAGUAGG
rnacentral:rRNA from 1 species